rnacentral:rRNA from 1 species
AUGAACGCUGGCGGCGUGCCUAAUACAUGCCAGUCGAGCGAACGGACGAGAAGCUUGCUUCUCUGAUGUUAGCGGCGGACGGGUGAGUAACACGUGGAUAACCUACCUAUAAGACUGGGAUAACUUCGGGAAACCGGAGCUAAUACCGGAUAAUAUUUUGAACCGCAUGGUUCAAAAGUGAAAGACGGUCUUGCUGUCACUUAUAGAUGGAUCCGCGCUGCAUUAGCUAGUUGGUAAGGUAACGGCUUACCAAGGCAACGAUGCAUAGCCGACCUGAGAGGGUGAUCGGCCACACUGGAACUGAGACACGGUCCAGACUCCUACGGGAGGCAGCAGUAGGGAAUCUUCCGCAAUGGGCGAAAGCCUGACGGAGCAACGCCGCGUGAGUGAUGAAGGUCUUCGGAUCGUAAAACUCUGCUAUUAGGGAAGAACAUAUGUGUAAGUAACUGUGCACAUCUUGACGGUACCUAAUCAGAAAGCCACGGCUAACUACGUG